UGUUUUGGCGCCAGGUUCCCUUGUUUUCGUUAGCGAUUUCCUCUGCUACUGAGCGCCGAUUCACUUCCAGAGUCGCGCAGGUUAUGGCAGUAGCUGUGUUCUUCAAUUCAAUCCGAUUGUAGGCUGGUUUCUUUUCAAUUUUCUCUAGGAUUUUGCAGGAUUCUUUUGGCGGCCCGGGAGCUCACAGAGAUCACGUCUUCAUGCUGAGCCCGUUGGCCACGCCCCGGACGUGGCUGUUUUGGCCUUGUGUGAGAAAUGGGGCGGCGAGAAAGUCUUUGAAACAGAUUACCUUUGCGGAGCAGGUUGUUGUUUUGCAUGAAGUUAAGUAAGUGUGGUCAGUGCUACCAUGAUAUGUGCGCAACAUUCCGCCUGAGUGUUUCUUUGGCUGUCUGUGCUGAAGAUGAGGCUGAGUUUUUUUGGGUUUUUUGCUAACGUGUUAAUCUUUUCACUAUCUACACAAGCUUAUUCAGGUAUUCUAACACAUAUGAAAAAAACGAUGGUAAAAGGUGUAAAUAACCCAAUCGGUUUUGUGGAUAGACUUGCAUAAACGUAUCCUUGUCGGAUAUUCCGGCUAGCCAUGCAGUAUGAUUCAACUCCCAUUUGUGAAAUUUAACAAGCGUGGGCGUGUUAAUGUACGUCAUUUAAAAAUAAGGGAAGCUCUUUUGGUGCAUUGAAAGUAAACCAGUUGACCCCAAUAAUGGUGCCAAGAUGAAACUGUAAUCGUUUUUUUCCCUCCAUAGCCAUUCAGCUGAUGUCGGAAAACUUCAGUUUAGCCAGGGUCUUGUAGGCUUUCCUGCACCCCAUAAAAUAAGCUUAUGCUUCCAUAUUGCUGUCUGUUUUUUAAAGUGGAAAAUAAAUGUAUGGGGGGACCUAACGAGUUAUGGACCCAUAUCUGAGGCAAGGCCUAAGAAGUGCCUGGCACAGCCUACGAAUUGCAAGUUGCUGAGGAAAUACUAAAGAGAGAGUCAUAUGUAGCAGUGGCCUAACGAACCUGCCCAGUCAAAAAGUAAGAUCUUCCUGGAAUCAUUCUGGAGUCAUCCAGUGACUCCAUCCUGGAGUCAUCCAUGGCUAUUUAGGGAGAUCAUCCAAAAACCCUGGAAUGGGUUCGCCCUGAGAGAGGGGCCUGAGCCUUGUAAAGCGUGCAUUUCCGGUGGCGUGCAGUGAGCUCUUGCUGGUCCUUGAAAAUCUGGUGGAGAUGGUGUAAAUCUUGCACAGGGACGUACCAAUAUCUGCAGCAGGUCUCCAAAGUGAACAGCCUCUGGCAUGUUGGAACAAUAUAGCUAAGGGAAGUCGGCAAGUCAGAUCCUUAACUUCCGGAUACGGAUUGGCUCUAAGGGCUGGGUCGAUCGGGCUGGGGCACGAAGCAGGGCAGGGCGUGUGCCGCGGCUGGACGGGGUGUCUCACCCCCAUCCCCCAUGGGGUGGUGUCGACUCUGAAUGUGAGCCAGGCCCUCCCUGUGGAUCGCCCCAGCUGCAGUGGUUGCCUCUCUCCAUUCCCCUCCCGGGGUUCGGGGCCGAUGCUCUGCCUCGGCCGACGCCUAGCAGCUGACCUAGAACUGGUGCGGACCAGGGGAAUCCGACUGUUUAAUUAAAACAAAGCAUUGCAAAGGCAUGUGGUGGGUGUUGACGCAAUGUGAUUCCUGACCAGUGCUCUGAAUAUCAAAGAAAAGAAAUUCAAUGAAGUGCUGGUAAACGGCGGAGCAACUAUGACUCUCUUAAGGUAGCCAAAUGCCUCGUCAUCUAAUUAGUGAUGCACAUGAAUGGAUGAACGAGAUUCCCACUGUCCCUACCUACUACAGAAUCAGCAGGGAAAGAAGACAUGUGUGCUUGCCUCUAGUCUGGCACUGUGAAGAGACAUGAGAGGUGUAGGUUAAGUGGGAGGCCCUCGGGCUGCCGGUGAAAUACCACUACUUUUAUCGUCUUUUCACUUACCUGGUGAGUUGGGGGGCAGGCACCGUAGGGCUCUCACUGCUGGCUCCAAGCACCCGGUGCACGCUGUGCGCGACCCGCUCCGGGGCAGUGGCAGGUGGGGAGUUUGACUUGGGAAGUACACCUGUCAAAUGAUAACGCAGGUGUCCUAAGGCGAUCUCAGGGAGGACAGAAACCUCCCGUGGAGCAGAAGGGCAAAAGCUUGCUUGAUCUCGAUUUUUCAGUAUGAAUACAGACUGUGAAAGCGGGGCCUCACCAUCCUUCUGACUUUUUGGAUUUCAAGCAAGAGGUGUCAUAAAAGUUAUCACAGCGAUAACUGGCUUGUGGUGGCCAAGCGUUCAUAGCGACAUCGCUUUUUGAUCCUUCAAUGUCAGCUCUUCCCAUCAUUAUGAAGCAGAAUUCACCAAGUGUUGGAUUGGUCACCCACUAAUAGGGAACGUUAGGUUGGGUUUAGACCAUUGGGAGACAGGUUAGUUUUACCCUACUGAUGGUGUGUUGUUGCAAUAGUAAUCCUGCUCAGUACAAGAGGAACCGCAGGUUCAGACAUUUGGUGUAUGUGCUUGGCUGAGGAGCCAAAGGGGUGAAGAUACCCUCUGUGGGAUUAUGACUAAACGCCUCUAAGUCAGAAUCCCCCCUAAACCAUAAUUAUACCGCAGCGAUUUCGAGACUCGGUUGGCCUAGGAUAGCUGGCCUCUGGGCCAGUGCAUAGAACCGCUCGCCUCGGGACUCGAGUGUAGACAGAAGGGAGCCACGUCUCUCGCUCAUAGUGUAACACAUCUUCGUGGGGAACCUGGUGCUAAAUCAUUCGUAGAUGACCUGAUUCUGGUUCAGGGUUUCGUAGGUAGCAGACCAGCUACCUUGCUGUGAUUGAUUGAAAGUCAUCCUCGAAGCCAAGCUAUUGUCGCAAGGUACUGC
rnacentral:rRNA from 1 species